GAUGAACGCUAGCUACAGGCUUAACACAUGCAAGUCGAGGGGAAACGAUAUUGGAAGCUUGCUUCCGAUAGGCGUCGACCGGCGCACGGGUGAGUAACGCGUAUCCAACCUGCCCAUCACUUGGGGAUAACCUUGCGAAAGUAAGACUAAUACCCAAUGAUAUCUCUAGAAGACAUCUGAAGGAGAUUAAAGAUUCAUCGGUGAUGGAUGGGGAUGCGUCUGAUUAGCUUGUUGGCGGGGUAACGGCCCACCAAGGCGACGAUCAGUAGGGGUUCUGAGAGGAAGGUCCCCCACAUUGGAACUGAGACACGGUCCAAACUCCUACGGGAGGCAGCAGUGAGGAAUAUUGGUCAAUGGGCGAGCACCUGAACCAGCCAAGUAGCGUGCAGGAUGACGGCCCUAUGGGUUGUAACAAGCUUUUAUAAGGGAAUACAGGGAGUCUCGUGAGACUUUUUGCAUGUACCUUAUGAAUAAGGACCGGCUAAUUCCGUGCCAGCCGCCGCGGUAA
rnacentral:rRNA from 1 species